rnacentral:lncRNA from 1 species
CCCAAAACACCCCCAGAAUCCUGCCCAAAACCACUACAAAAUGCUUCCCAAAACACCCUCAAAAUCCUGUUCAAAAUAUCCCAAAAUCCUGCCCAAAACCACUACAAAAUCCUGCCAAAACACCCCCAAAAUACUUCCUAAAAUCCUGCCCAAAACUCUCCAGAAUCCUUCCUAAAAUCCUUCCCAAAACACCCCCAAAAUGCCCCGAAAUCCUUCCAAAUACACCCCCGGAAUUCUGCCCAAAAUCCCACCCAAAACACCCCAAAAUCCCACCCAAAAUACCCCAAAAUCCUGCCCAAAACCACUCCAAAAAUCCUGCCAAAAACCCCAGAAUCCGGCCCAAAACCCCCCAAAAUCCUUCCAAAUACACCCCCGGAAUUCUGCCCAAAAUCCCACCCAAAACACCCCCAAAACCCUGCCCAAAACAUCGCAAAAUUCUGUCUGAAACACCCCAAAAUCCUGCCCAAAACCACUACAAAAUCCUUCCCAAAACAUCCCCAAAAUCCUUCCCAAAAAACCCCCAAAAUCCCCCCCAAAACCCCCCCAAACCUGCCCAAAACCAC